rnacentral:rRNA from 1 species
UACGAGUGGUCCAAGCGUUAUCCGGAAUUAUUGGGCGUAAAGGGUGUGUAGGUGGUUAUGUUAGUCUGGUGUCGAACCUCCAAGCUCAACUUGGAGACAGCAUUGGAAACGGCAUGACUAGAGUAUGUUAGGGGUAAGCGGAACUAAUAGUGUAGGGGUGAAAUCCGUUGAUAUUAUUGGGAACACCAAAAGCGAAGGCAGCUUACUGGAACAUUACUGACACUGAAACAUGAAAGCGUGGGUAGCGAAUGGG